AGGCACUCCACAGCUCUCAACAGUUCAUGUGCAUGUGUCAGUUAAUACAAGGUGGGCAGGUGGCUCAUGCCUCUAUUCCCAGCUCCUUGCGAGUUCCAGGCUGGUGAAUCACUUGAGUCCAGGAGUUUGAGGCCAGCCUGAGAUAACAUGGCAAAAUCCCGUCUCUACUAAAACACAAAAAUUAGCCGGGUGUGGUGGCACGCACCUGUAGUCCCAGCUACAUGGGAGGCUGAGACAUGAGAACCACUUGAACCUGGGAGGCAGAGGUUGCUGAGAGCCGAGAUCGCGCCACUGCACUCCAGCCUGGGUGACAGAGCCAGACUCUGCUCAAAAAAUUAAAAAUUAAUUGAAAAUUUAAAAAUUAAAAAUAUUAGAAAUAUUUUAAAAUUAAAAAAAGAAAACUACAACAACCCUAUUAGGCGAAAUUUUGAUUGUUGUGGAUUGACAGAUGAAAAUAAGAUCAGAGACGUUAAAAAACUUCUCUGCCCAGGUUUAUGCAGAUGGUGAGUGUAAGACAUAUUUGUAGUAGAUGUUUGUAUUUGAGGCUAAUAAUGUGACUUUUGUUUCUUUAUCUUGUAGGUGACACUGAGUUGACAACUGUGCAGGGAGUUGUCACAAGUUUCUGUGAUGAUUAUGGCAUGAUUGAUGAGUCGAUCUACUUCAGUAGUGAUGUUGUGACUGGCGACGUGCCUCUAAAAGUUGGACAAAAAGUUAAUGUGGUUGUGGAAGAAGAUAAACCACUUUACGGAUUGAGAGCAAUCAAGCUUUAUUGAGAUAUAAGUCACGUGAUUCACCAUGCAAUUCACCCAUCUACAGGGUACAAUUCAGUGGUUUUUAGUUUGUUCACAGGGUUAGGCAACCAUCACCACAAACAAUUUUAGAACAUUUUCAUCACUCAAAAAGGUAGCUCCAUAACCAUUCAUAGUCUUUUCCCAUUUCUGCCUGCUCCCCCAACUGUCCUCUCCCCCCGCAACAUCCAGCCCCAGGAAAUCACUUAUCCAUUUUCUGUUUGUAUAUAUUCACCCAUUCUGGACAGUAAAAAAGAUUCCUUCUAUAUAACGGUAAUGAUAUGUCCUUUCACCAACAUCUCCUUAUUCCUCCAUCAACCCUAACAACCCAAGCAUCUAGCAACCACCAUUCUACUCUACACUGCUAUUAGGUCAAAUUUUUAUAUUCUGCAUAUGAAUGAGCCCAUGCAGUUAUUUGUGUUUGUGUGACGGGCUUAUUUCACUUACAUUCUUCAGGUUCAUCCAUGUUGUCCCAAAUGGCAAGAUUUUGUUCUGUUUUAUGGCUGAAUAGUAUUCCAUUGUGUAUUUAUACCACAUUUCCUUUAUCCACUCAUCCACAGAUGGACACUUAGAUUGCUUUCGUUUCUCGGCUAUUGUGAAUAGGGCUGCAAUAGGCAUGGAAGUGAUGAUAUCUCUUUGACACAUUGAUGACACUGUCUUU
rnacentral:lncRNA from 1 species